AGCCGUGUGGUGAGCACAAAGCGAACUUUUCUUUCGCCUUUUACUAAAGAAUACCGUGUGCUCGCCACUUAUUGCGGGAUACAUUAAUUUUUCGAGGGUUUAACCUAAACCCCU